rnacentral:rRNA from 1 species
UACCAGCACCCCGAGUGGUCGGGACGAUUAUUGGGCCUAAAGCAUCCGUAGCCGGUUCUACAAGUCUUCCGUUAAAUCCAACUGCUUAACAGUUGGGCUGCGGAGGAUACUAUAGAGCUAGGAGGCGGGAGAGGCAAGCGGUACUUAGUGGGUAGGGGUAAAAUCCGUUGAUCCACUGAAGACCACCAGUGGCGAAGGCGGCUUGCCAGAACGCGCUCGACGGUGAGGGAUGAAAGCUGGGGGAGCAAACCGGAUUAGAAACCCCCGUAGUCC